CACGUAGGGCGCGAGCGUUGUCCGGAAUUAUUGGGCGUAAAGAGCUCGUAGGCGGCCUGUUGCGUCCGCUGUGAAAGCCCGGGGCUUAACCCUGGGCUUGCAGUGGAUACGGGUAGACUAGAGGCAGGUAGGGGAGAAUGGAAUUCCCGGUGUAGCGGUGAAAUGCGCAGAUAUCGGGAGGAACACCGGUGGCGAAGGCGGUUCUCUGGGCCGAUAUUGACGCUGAGGAGCGAAAGCGUGGGGAGCAAACAGG
rnacentral:rRNA from 1 species